GACGAACGCUGGCGGCGUGCCUAAUACAUGCAAGUAGAACGCUGAAGGAGGAGCUUGCUUCUCUGGAUGAGUUGCGAACGGGUGAGUAACGCGUAGGUAACCUGCCUGGUAGCGGGGGAUAACUAUUGGAAACGAUAGCUAAUACCGCAUAAGAGUAGAUGUCGCAUGACAUUUGCUUAAAAGGUGCAAUUGCAUCACUACCAGAUGGACCUGCGUUGUAUUAGCUAGUUGGUGAGGUAACGGCUCACCAAGGCAACGAUACAUAGCCGACCUGGGAGGGUGAUCGGCCACACUGGAACUGAGAAACGGCCCAGACUCCUACGGGAGGCAGCAGUAGGGAAUCUUCGGCAAUGGACGGAAGUGUGACCGAGCAACGCCGGGUGAGGGAAGAAGGUUUUCGGAUCGUAAAGCUCUGUUGUAAGAGAAGAACGAGUGUGAGAGUGGAAAGUUCACACUGUGACGGUAUCUUACCAGAAAGGGACGGCUAACUACG
rnacentral:rRNA from 1 species